CAUAUUUGGGGUUCAAAACCCACUUUUCUUUCUUUUUCAAACUGACCGAAACCUUUGAGAGAGAAAAGAGAGAAAAACUUCAUCUUGCAACCUCAAUUUCUUACCUCAAUCUUGUGUUCCAACCAUUAAAACCUCAAUUUACUCCAUAAAAGUCCUUUGCUAAGGAAGAUGGAAGAAGGUGGUGGAGUGGUUUUGGUAAGGGAAGUUAAGCUACCAACUUUUCUUGGGGUUUGAAGGGUUUGGACUUGAGCAAGGCAAUGAUAUAUGAUGGAUGAGGUUCAUGAGUCAUGGUUGGACUCGAGAUAAAGGAAGCGCUUGUCUUAAGUUCUCCGUGUGACUGGAUGGAUUAUCUCCUGUAUAGUUUAAGUUUUACAUUCAUCUUGUGUAAUAGUUAGAUUUGUAUGAAAGUUUGGAAUUGAAACAAGUGUAUGUGUACAUUCCACGCUUGUGAUACUUAGUCAUG